rnacentral:rRNA from 1 species
AACGAACGCUGGCGGCGCGCCUAAUACAUGCAAGUCGAACGAGAAGGUGUAGCAAUACACUUGUACAGUGGCGAACGGGUGAGGAAUGCAUGGGCAACCUACCCUCGAGUGGGGAACAACCAGCCGAAAGGUUGGCUAAUACCGCGUACGCUUCCGGGUCUCCGGAUCCGGAAGGAAAGUCACACCGUGGGUGUGACGCUCAAGGAUGGGCUCAUGUCCUAUCAGCUUGNGGUGAGGUAACGGCUCACCAAGGCAACGACGGGUAGCUGGUCUGAGAGGACGAUCAGCCACACUGGGCACUGCGACACGGGCCAGACUCCUACGGGAGGCAGCAGUAAGGAAUAUUGCGCAAUGGGCGAAAGCCUGACGCAGCGACGCCGCGUGGGGGAUGAAGGUCUUCGGAUUGUAAACCCCUUUUA